rnacentral:lncRNA from 1 species
CAUAUACUUCUCAUUCUUUUUUUUUUGGUUUCCCUACAUUCUUAAAAAAAAAAAAAGAAAAGAAAAAGGAAAAGAAAAAAAGAAAAGAAAAAGGAAAAGAAAAAAAAAGAAAAGAAAAAGGAAAAGAAAAAAAGAAAAAAAAGGUUUUCGUGAUGAGGAGGCAGAGCUACCUCUGGUCUUUUAGGCUUUUAUGUGCUAAACAUGGAUUUCUGAUUCACAAGAAGGAAAAAUUCCAAGCCAAACAAGAUGAUCAAGCCCUUGGAAUUGCAGGACCCUAUGCCCAAGAAGAGAAAAUAACAAGAUCAAGUUCAGGAAGUAACAUUGCUAAUGGAGCAAAAGAUGGAAGAUGAUCCAGCAAAGAAUGAUAAGCACUCAAAAAGGUGGGCAAACCAAAAGAGAGCAGUGCCUUGGGAUCCCAAAGAAGAAUAUGUUUAAAUGGAAGCAAAAGAAAUGAAAGAGCAUAGAAUAUGAGAAGUGAGAAAAUUCCAUUAAAUUUAAUAGUUAGGACAUUAUUUUUUAC